rnacentral:rRNA from 1 species
AAACUGCGAUACGUAGUGUGAAUUGCAGAAUCCAGUGAAUCAUCGAGUCUUUGAACGCAAAUGGCGCUCUCGGUCAAGCCGGGAGCACGUCUGUCUGAGCGUCUGUU